ACGAACGCUGGCGGCGUGCCUAAUACAUGCAAGUCGAACGAAGCUUUCUUUCACCGAAUGCUUGCAUUCACCGAAAGAAGCUUAGUGGCGAACGGGUGAGUAACACGUAGGCAACCUGCCCAAAAGAGGGGGAUAACACUUGGAAACAGGUGCUAAUACCGCAUAACCAUGAACACCGCAUGAUGUUCAUGUAAAAGACGGCUUUUGCUGUCACUUUUGGAUGGGCCUGCGGCGUAUUAACUUGUUGGUGGGGUAACGGCCUACCAAGGUGAUGAUACGUAGCCGAACUGAGAGGUUGAUCGGCCACAUUGGGACUGAGACACGGCCCAAACUCCUACGGGAGGCAGCAGUAGGGAAUCUUCCACAAUGGACGAAAGUCUGAUGGAGCAACGCCGCGUGAAUGAAGAAGGCCUUCGGGUCGUAAAAUUCUGUUGUCAGAGAAGAACGUGCGUGAGAGUAACUGUUCACGUAUUGACGGUAUCUGACCAGAAAGCCACGGCUAACUACGUGCCAGCAGCCGCGGUAAUACGUAGGUGGCGAGCGUUGUCCGGAUUUAUUGGGCGUAAAGGGAACGCAGGCGGUCUUUUAAGUCUGAUGUGAAAGCCUUCGGCUUAACCGAAGUAGUGCAUUGGAAACUGGAAGACUUGAGUGCAGAAGAGGAGAGUGGAACUCCAUGUGUAGCGGUGAAAUGCGUAGAUAUAUGGAAGAACACCAGUGGCGAAAGCGGCUCUCUGGUCUGUAACUGACGCUGAGGUUCGAAAGCGUGGGUAGCAAACAGGAUUAGAUACCCUGGUAGUCCACGCCGUAAACGAUGAGUGCUAAGUGUUGGAGGGUUUCCGCCCUUCAGUGCUGCAGCUAACGCAUUAAGCACUCCGCCUGGGGGGUACGGUCGCAAGACUGAAACUCAAAGGAAUUGACGGGGGCCCGCACAAGCGGUGGAGCAUGUGGUUUAAUUCGAAGCAACGCGAAGAACCUUACCAGGUCUUGACAUCUUCUGACAAUUCCAGAGAUGGAACGUUCCCUUCGGGGACAGAAUGACAGGUGGUGCAUGGUUGUCGUCAGCUCGUGUCGUGAGAUGUUGGGUUAAGUCCCGCAACGAGCGCAACCCUUAUUGUCAGUUGCCAUCAUUAAGUUGGGCACUCUGGCGAGACUGCCGGUGACAAACCGGAGGAAGGUGGGGAUGACGUCAAAUCAUCAUGCCCCUUAUGACCUGGGCUACACACGUGCUACAAUGGACGGUACAACGAGUCGCUAACUCGCGAGGGCAAGCUAAUCUCUUAAAGCCGUUCUCAGUUCGGAUUGCAGGCUGCAACUCGCCUGCAUGAAGUCGGAAUCGCUAGUAAUCGCGAAUCAGCAUGUCGCGGUGAAUACGUUCCCGGGCCUUGUACACACCGCCCGUCACACCAUGAGAGUUUGUAACACCCAAAGUCGGUGGGGUAACCUUUUGGAGCCAGCCGCCUAAGGUGGGACAGAUGAUUGGGGUG
rnacentral:rRNA from 1 species